UACGGAGGGUGCGAACGUUAAUCGGAAUUACUGGGCGUAAAGCGCACGUAGGCGGUUUGUUAAGUGGGAUGUGAAAGCCCUGGGCUCAACCUGGGAAUUGCAUUCCAAACUGGCAGACUAGAGUACGGUAGAGGGAGGUAGAAUUUCCUGUGUAGCGGUGAAAUGCGUAGAUAUAGGAAGGAAUACCGGUGGCGAAGGCGGCCUCCUGGACUGAUACUGACGCUGAGGUGCGAAAGCGUGGGGAGCAAACAGG
rnacentral:misc_RNA from 1 species